rnacentral:rRNA from 1 species
GACGAACGCUGGCGGCGCGUCUUAAACAUGCAAGUCGAACGAUCUGUAGCAAUACAGGGAGUGGCGGACGGGUGAGGAACACGUAGGAAUCUACCUUGAAGAGCGGGACAACUUUGGGAAACCGGGGCUAAUACCGCAUAGUACAGAGAUGUUAAAGGGCUAGCAAUAGUCGCUUCGAGAUGAGCCUGCGGUCUAUCAGCUUGUUGGUGAGGUAAUGGCUCACCAAGGCUACGACGGAUAGCCGGUCUGAGAGGAUGAUCGGCCACACUGGCACUGAGACACGGGCCAGACUCCUACGGGAGGCAGCAGUUAAGAAUCUUGCGCAAUGGGGGAAACCCUGACGCAGCGACGCCGCGUGAAGGAUGAAGGCUUUCGGGUUGUAAACUUCGGUAGACUGGGAAGAAGAAAUACGUUCGUUGAGGGCGUAUAGUGACGGUACCAGUCUGAAGCCCCGGCUAAUUACGUGCCAGCAGCCGCGGUAAU